GAUGAAGAAUGUAGCGAAAUGCGAUAAGUAAUGUGAAUUGCAGAAUUCAGUGAAUCAUCGAAUCUUUGAACGCACAUUGCGCCCGCCAGCACUCUGGCGGGCAUGCCUGUCCGAGCGUCAUUUCAACCCUCGAGCACCGCUCGGCGUUGGGGGAGCGGCCCGCGCGCCGCCCCCCGAAAUGCAGUGGCGACCUCGCCGCGUCCUCCCCUGCGCAGUAGCUCUCCAGAGAACCUCGCAUCGGCGGCGCGGCGGCGGUCACGCCGUGAAACAAUCCUCAAGAGUUGACCUCGGAUCAGGUAGGGAUACCCGCUGAACUUAAGCAUAUCAAUAAGCGGAGGA
rnacentral:misc_RNA from 1 species